rnacentral:rRNA from 1 species
UACGUAGGUGGCAAGCGUUGUCCGGAUUUAUUGGGUUUAAAGGGUGCGUAGGUUGUUUUGUAAGUCAGUGGUGAAAUCCGGCAGCUUAACUGUCGAUGUGCCAUUGAUACUGCAGAACUUGAGUACAGACGAGGUAGGCGGAAUUGACGGUGUAGCGGUGAAAUGCUUAGAUAUCGUCAAGAACACCGAUAGCGAAGGCAGCUUACUAGACUGUAACUGACACUGAUGCACGAAAGUGUGGGGAUCAAACAGG